AGUUACCGAGGAAUUGCUAAUUCCAGAGCUGCCCUUUGUGACACUUGACUAGAAGAUUAAGUCAGGUUUUAGAAAUCUUGUUUUUGUCCUUUUUCCCCUGUGCCCAGCUUAAGAACACCCCAAAGAGUAAUAGUUAGUUACAGAAAGUGGUGCAUUUUAAAAGGAUAGCAAUUUGAGGGAAGUCGGCUUUUGAUUAAUUUCAGUGGCCCUUAGUAAAAAUAAAAUAAUUCAUUCAAACAAAGAUUAGACUAGAAAAAUUACUGGAGGAGAAAAGACAAAUCCCCGACACAGAAGGAUUCCAAAUAAUUCUAAGUACUCUGCCCUCGCGCAGGUUGGGGGUAACUCCCCACCCUCACGUGUGGGUGGCGUGUAGGGACUUCCUUCCAAAGAGACCGAUGUGGAAGGUGGAGAAAGGGUAAUUUUACAGUGGAGAAACCUGGCCAGCACUGUCUCAGCCGGGCGACCAAAAAACACACAACCCCAGCCUAAUAACGAGAAAAACAUCAGAAAAAUCCCAGUGGAGGGACAUCGUACAGAACACAUAACCAGGACUCUUCAAAACUGUUAAGGUCAUCAAAAACUAGUCUGAGAAACUGUCACCGCCAAGAGGAGUCCAAGGAGACACCGCAACCAUGUGUAAUCUGGUGUCCUGGACGCAUCCCGGGAGCAGACCAAAGGACAUGAGGUAAACCCCACUGCUCUCAUAGAGUCCGUCUGACGCAGAGAAGUCUGAUGAUGAAUCGGGCAGUUCGGGGCAGUCGGAACCCUGUAAGGACGAGCUCCACAGGCCAGAGAUGUGAAGGGAAGAGAAGUGUGUCCCCAAGCUCCCCGCCCCCCGCUUCUGUGCAUUUCCCCUUCCAAAGGAAGCGGCUCACCUGGAAUCUCAUGUUGUGAACGUGCACAGCGGUGGUUCUUCCUGUGACUGACCAAGUGCUGCAAGAGGGCGACUUCUGUGGCUGCAGCAGACUCCAGGCAAUGCGUGCUGCCGGUGGACUGAAGAUCUGGUCGAGAGUUUGAAUCGCCUGGUUCCACAGAAUUAACAAAUAACUGGAAGACAAUGCAGAAAAUGAAGCAAGGGGGAGGGGAGAGCUCAGUGGUAGAGUGUGUGCUUAGCAUGCACGAGGUCCUGGGUUCCAUCCGCAGUACCUCCAUCUAAUAAAUAAGUAGAUAAACCUAAUUACCAACCCCCCCCAAAGUUUGUUUAAAAACAGAAAACAAAGCAAAACGAAACCAACCAACAAACAAAACCACACACGGCUAAGACUGGAGCACAGGUAACACAAGGAAUCAGGACUAAUCAGCCUGGAGGAGCGGAAUGAGGAUGAGCCAGUGGGCUUUCCUUCUGAGGCUGCUGUGUUCUUUUGUUGUUCAGCUCUGCCCAGGGAAGAACAAGAGGGGAAAAAAUAUCAACUUAGGCUGACAGGUGAGCAACCUACAUUGAUCCCACUGAGUCCAGUUUUCUCUCAUCAUGUAGUUGCAUCAUGAUUCAGGGGAUGGGACUCAGCUCCAAGGCGGGCCCAUGUUGACCCAAGCCAGGGGCUGGCAAACUUUUUCUGUGAAAGGCCAGAUAGUAAAUGAGGAUGUGUAGGCUGUGUGGUCAGUAACUGCUGAACACUGCUGUUUUAUGCAAAAGGAGCCACGGAUAAUCUGCAGAGGAAGAGUGUGACUGUGUUCUAAUAAAACUUCCAGAAACAGCUGGUGGGCAGGAUUUGGUCCACACCCAUAGUUUGCCGACCUCUGGCCUAAACCAGUCAUAGUUUUUCCGUCUCUCUUGCCAAUGAUUAGGAUGCCCCAGCUUAAACCAAUCAGCAAGAAGCAUUUUCCUGGGGAUAAUGACUGGUUCAGAGGCAGGCAUACAACCUAAAUUGGCCCAGUCAGGAAGGGGAAAGAUUUUUGGGUGACAUUUGGGAGAGGAGAGAGGGUUCUGCUCCUCUGACCCCUACGUGAAUCAGGAUGCGCAUAACCCUGCUUGUUACUGGCAACCAGUCUGCGGCUAGGAGGGAAUCGGCCCUGAGACUAAGUGAACUCUGGAUGACAGAGGAAAAAGAUGGGACUCUGAUCCCUGACGGUAUUGUUAGACCGCAGGGUGAUUUAGCCCUAUUUCCCACUCCACCUCUGGAUUUUCAAGCCUUGCGCAAGCCUCGAAAUUUGCUUAUGAUAAAAAAACCACUCUGAGUCGGGAUUUCUACUACUUGUAGCUCAAUGCAUCCUAUCUCAUGGGAAAUUUUAAAAAAUAAGUUUAUGGCUCUCAAAGUUUUUUUUUAAUUUAAUAGACUUUAUUCUUUUAGAGCAGUUUCAGGUUCACAGCAGAAUUGAGCAGAAAAUACAGAGUUAGCACGUAGCCCUCCUCACCCACACAUACAUCCUCCCCUCCUCUCAGCAUCUCUCAU